rnacentral:rRNA from 1 species
GUGCAAAGGUAGCAUAAUCAGUUGGCUUAUAAUUGAAGUCUGGAAUGAACGAAGUAACGGGUAAAAGCUGUCUUUAAAAUAUUACUAUAAAAUUAGUUAGUAAGUGCAAAAACUUACAAUUAUCAAAUAGACGAGAAGACCCUAGAAAUUUUAUACUAAGUUUUUGUUGGGGCGACAAAGUUACAAUUAACUAACUUUAUAGAACAUGCAACAUUGGUGAUAGAUUAAAUUACUCUAGGGAUAACAGCAUAAUUUUAAAAAGUUUGUGACCUCGAUGUUGGACUAGGCAUGGUGUUUUUUAGAAGAAAUUGCUUUCUGCUCUGUUCGAGCAAAUAGGCCUG